GGAAUCAAUAACUGGGGUGAAGUCGUAACAAGGUAGCCGUAUCGGAAGGUGCGGCUGGAUCACCUCCUUU
rnacentral:rRNA from 2 species